AUGUCGGCAGGAGCCACUAUAAACUGGAUCAGAACCCCAUUUCACGCCCAGAGAUUUCAUGACUUCUCAAGUUUAAGUUUUAGAUGCCGAAACACUUUUGGAUCAAUUCAGCCUUCCUGGUUGGCAACUGAUCAGGAUUCAUCCCUCUCCAAAGUCCGUGUGGCUGCAGACUACUCAGAUUCAGUGCCAGAUUCCAAGUACAUGAGAGAUCGGGGAUACCAUCCUCUUGAAGAAAUCAAAGAACGCCCAAAGAAAAAAGACAUUUCACUGACAGAUGUAGAAACAGCUAGAACAGUAGUAGAGGCAAAUAGCAAGGGAUUGCUCGUAUUUCCUGCCAGGGUCCAUAAUGAACCUCAUGGACAUGUUUCUUGGUCAGAAUUUCAGUAUGCUGUUGAUGACUAUGGAGACAUUUUCUUUCAAGUACCUGAUGAUGGGAACAUCUUGGAAGAUGAUGAUGCAAACAACCCUGUGACAGUUUUGAUCGGAACGGAUGGUGCCAUUAUCGGUGAAACUAGUGCGGUAACUAGUGAUUUCAGCGACCACGUGGUCGUUGAGGAUUCUAUGGACAUGCAUGAUAAUGACAGCAAGGUUGACACAGAAAUAACGGAUAUUCUUAUAGAGUGGGGAAUGCCAGUGACGAUGCGUUCAAUACAUCCUAUAUAUUUUGCCAAGUGUUUGACAAAGGCUGUUCAUGAUAAUCAUGGGGAGAAGAUCGAUAAUCCAUCAAACGGUGUCUCUAUUGUAGGAUACCUGAGACCUGCUUUUAUAGAAGAAGAGUCUUAUUUGAGGAGUUUAUUUGGUGCUGAAUGCAGUGCCGAUGGUUAUUCAUCUAAUUGGAGAGAGGAAUACAACAGAGAACCCCGGCCAGCUUCUGGAACCAAUGGCCUAAUUGAUGGUGAUAAAUCGAAAUCGGACAUCAACGAUACGGAAAGUAGCAUUGAUUCAACCAUCUACAAGCUGGAAAUGAUGUCAAUUGAGCUGUUUUCUGUCUAUGGUAAGCAGUUUAUGAUUGAUCCACAAGACUUUCAAGAUGCAGAACCAGAUCUUCUUUCAAAUCAUGCUUCGGACAUUAUAAAACGCGUCAAAGAAAACAGUGAUCAGUGUACCAUGGCUCUAAGGUCCCUCUGUAGCCGGAAAAAAGGCCUUACAGUAGAGGAUGCAAGUUUGAUAGGUGUCGAUAGUCUUGGUAUCGACGUCAGAGCCUUUUCUGGCUUGGAAGCUCGGACCGUUCGAUUUUCAUUCAAUGCCCAGGCGUUAUCUGAACGUUCAGCUGAAAAGAAGAUCAAGCGAAUGCUUUUUCCGCGUUAUCGCAAGACCGUGAAAGCUUCCGCUGAAGAUGAAUGUUAG
rnacentral:rRNA from 1 species